CAGCAGCCCAUUUUUUUUUUUCACUUGACACCGGGCUGGCCCAAAACACUUGAAUCCAAAAUAUCACGUAGGCUAGGUUUUUCCGUACACCCAUAAUUUCACAAUGAAAUGGAGUAGUCCGUAACGGUGUGCGGCGCGAAAGAUAAACAGUGACAGGAGAACUGGGAGU